GAGGGUAUAGCUCAAGCGGUAGAGCACAUGCUUAGCAUGCACGAGGUCCUGGGUUCAAUCCCCAGUACCUCCU
rfam:Camelus ferus unplaced genomic scaffold scaffold1491, whole genome shotgun sequence.